rnacentral:rRNA from 1 species
UACGGAGGGUGCGAGCGUUAAUCGGAAUUACUGGGCGUAAAGCGCGCGUAGGCGGUUUGUUAAGUCAGCUGUGAAAGCCCCGGGCUUAACCUGGGAAUGGCAGUUGAUACUGGCGAGCUAGAGUGUGGUAGAGGGGUGUGGAAUUUCCGGUGUAGCAGUGAAAUGCGUAGAGAUCGGAAGGAACACCAGUGGCGAAGGCGGCACCCUGGACCAACACUGACGCUGAGGUGCGAAAGCGUGGGGAGCAAAC